rnacentral:rRNA from 1 species
AUGACGAGGCGACCAAUGCCAGCAGCAAUGAUGUUUGCUAUCAAGACCUACACGGCUCAGAACCGACAAUACCGACAAAAUCAACAAUCGUUAAGACAGAUAGCAUCUUCCCCUGGAUAUGGGACGAUGAACCCGACAUCCAAUAUCAUGCAAGGUGCAAGCGAAAAUUCUAGAAUGUCUUAUGUGACGGGCAAUGUUGGCCCUUUGUCGUCUAGUGCAGACAUGGAUCUGCAGAUUGCCAACAUGGAUACCUCCCUGCCAGGUACAGAUAGAUUUUCUGAGAUCUUGCUCAUACCUAUCCUUAUUAGGGCUACUAGUAAAUGUGUACAUUGA